rnacentral:rRNA from 1 species
GACGAACGCUGGCGGCGUGCUUCAUACAUGCAAGUCGAACGAGAAGCUGACUUCGGUCAGUGGAAAGUGGCGGACGGGUGAGUAAUAUGUAGGAAAUCUGCCUUUAGGAGGGGGACAACAGAGGGAAACUUCUGCUAAUACCCCAUAUGAGCGUAGCUGAAAUGCUAUUCUUUAAAACUCCGGUGCCUAAAGAUGAGCCUGCAUCUGAUUAGCUAGUUGGUAGUGUAAUGGACUACCAAGGCGACGAUCAGUAGCUGGGUUGAGAGGAUGAUCAGCCACAAUGGGACUGAGACACGGCCCAUACUCCUACGGGAGGCAGCAGUAGGGAAUUGUGCGCAAUGGGCGAAAGCCUGACGCAGCAACGCCGCGUGAACGAUUAAGCCCUUCGGGGUGUAAAGUUCUGUCAGUGGGGACGAAACUUGACGGUACCCACAGAGGAAGCACCGGCUAACUCCGUG